rnacentral:lncRNA from 1 species
GCUGAGUGGGUUUUCGGAUCAUGUCUGGUGGCUCCGCGGAUUACAACAGAGAACAUGGCGGCCCAGAGGGAAUGGACCCCGAUGGUGUCAUCGAGAGCAACUGGAAUGAAAUUGUUGAUAACUUUGAUGAUAUGAAUUUAAAGGAGUCCCUUCUUCGAGGCAUCUAUGCUUAUGGUUUUGAGAAGCCUUCAGCUAUUCAGCAGAGAGCUAUAAUCCCAUGUAUUAAAGGUAAAACUCCACUGACAUUUAGGAUAAGUGUUCUGCACCCACGUGGACCGUAAAAGGGAAAGUGACCUUUUGGGGAAGUACUAGCACCUGUUUGUAUUCCUUAAAGUGAAAUGAUGGCAAUCAUCUUUCGGGACUGACCUGAAAUGAAGAGAAAACUCUCUGCUGAUCACUUAUAUGGGCAUAAUUUAUGUUCCAACUGGAAUACAUGGUGUGUAGUAGAAGUAACGAUUUGAUGUGGGAUCGGUAAAUAUGUAUCCUACUUUUUUUAGGAUAUGAUGUGAUUGCUCAAGCUCAGUCAGGUACUGGCAAGACAGCCACAUUUGCUAUUUCCAUCCUGCAACAGUUGGAGAUUGAGUUCAAGGAGACCCAAGCACUAGUAUUGGCCCCCACCAGAGAACUGGCUCAACAGAUCCAAAAGGUCAUUUUGGCUCUUGGAGAUUAUAUGGGAGCAACUUGUCAUGCUUGCAUUGGAGGAACAAAUGUUCGAAAUGAAAUGCAGAAGUUGCAGGCUGAAGCCCCUCAUAUUGUUGUUGGCACUCC